rnacentral:lncRNA from 1 species
GGGUUUGAACCUGUAUCACAGCAGUGACCCAAGCUGCAGGAUUGACAUCAGAUCCUUAACCAGGGAACUCCCUAAUGGCACUUUUAUUUCUUUAAGGCUUGCAUCCAUUUAAAAAUAUUCUAUGCCAAGUGAAAGAUGCCAGAUACAAAGGGAUAUAUCAUGUACAAGUCCAUAUAAAUCACAUUCUGUAAAAGGCAAGGCAUAGGGUCAAAAUUCAUAUCAAUGGUUGCCAAGGACUAGGAGUUGAGGGAACAAAUUGACUCCAAAUUGAGGGAAUUUGGGAGGUAAAGGAAGUAUUUUUAUCUUUAUUUUUAUGUUUUUGCUUUUUAGGGCUACACCCUUGGCAUAUGGAAAUUCCCAGGCCAGGGGUUGAAUCAGAACUGUAGCUGCUGGCAACAGUGCAGGAUUUGAGCCCUACCCUGGGAACUUCCAUAUGCCCAUAUGCCACAGGUGUGGCUCUAAAAUAAAUAAAUAAAUAAAUAAAUAAAUAAAUAAAUAAUAAAAAUAAGAAAAUAGAAAAAAUUUUACCAAACUCAGCCAGUAUCCAUACAUGCGAAAGCUCAAAAGAGUAUAUUGAGGAAGCUCAAUGACACAAACAUUUGAUUAAAAAUAAAACAUGGUAUUUAAUAAAUAUUAAAAAAUAAAAUAAAUAAGUAAAUAAAAAUUUAAUACUGGACAUUGUAGGUGAUUCUGUUAUCUUCCUCUAGAGACUAUUUAUGUUUAUCAAGCAAUUAACUUGAGAUGAGCGGCAGCUGCUAUUUCUGCUCAGUUCUUUUGGUUUCCAGUUAUCUUUUUCUGGUUGUUUUCUGCUGGGCUCCUUGGUAGUCUCUGCACAUGCACAGGUCAGGAGUCAGCCAAGGAUUUGAUCAGAUUUUAUAUGCAUUUUUAAGAAGCCUCUGUGGUUUCUUCUAAACUUGAUUAUCUAGAGUUUCCUAGUGGUUCAGAGGGUUAGGGAUCUGGCGUUGUCACUGCUGUGGCUCUGGUUACUGCUAUGGCACAGAUUCAGAUCCCUGCUCUGGGAACUUCUGUAUGCCGUGGAUGCUGCCAAAACAAAAUAAAAUAAAAUAAACUUGAUUCUCUGACUUGUCAAACCAGUAAGACUAGCAACUUUAUGCUUGAAUUCUGGCCAUCCUAUGCUAGGUGUUCCGGAUAGUACCUUCAGACAAAAUCCUUAUGAUCACAAAUCUUAUCCACGGCACCUCCCUUCUGACCAUGGUUGACUCCCCUCCAGUUUCCUCUUGCUGGUAUUCUCUUCAGUUCCUUCAAAUAAUUGUAUUCUUUUAUUUUGUCCAGAGUCCAUAAUUUUUAUAAUACAAUAUAGGCUACUCCACCACUCCUGGAAGCAGAACCUCCAACUUUUGUUUCAAAACACUCCAGUGAGGAUGUUGACUUGUCUGAAAUUUAAAGAAAAGAUCCAAGGACCCUAUGUGUUUGCAAGACUGAUGAAAGGACUCUCUUGGCUGUGGGCAGCACCUCCAGGUCCCUUCAGGGAUAUGGGCUCAAGCCACACAAGAGGAAGAAAACCUACAGAUUAAGUCAAAAGGUCUUUUCAGAUGCAAAGCCCAGUUCUCAACUCCACUCUCUGCUGCCUCCCAGACCCUGCACGAGAAGCUGCAGACACCAGAGUGGCAAGUGUACCGUGUCAGCUGUGGUGUGAGUGACUGCGAUUAGAUCUCUUGAGGACUUCUGAGGGGAGAUUUAACAUGAAGGAGACCAGGUGAGUGGCAAAAACUGCUGUUGAGAGGAGGAGGUCAAGAUGUCAGGAAGAUGGGGUGAUCAAGGAGGGAAGAGGAUGUGGCAGAGAAAAUAAUUAAAAAGAAUAGUUAGGGAGUUCCCGUUGUGGCUCAGCAGGUCACACGCCCAGCAAGUAUCCUUGAGGAUGCCUGUUCAAUCCCUGGCCUUGCUCAGUGGGUUAAGGAUCACGAGCUGUGGUGUAGGUCACAGAUGUGGCUCAGAUCUGGUGUUGCUGUGGCUGUGGUGUAGGCCGGCAUCUGCAGCUCCAAUUCGACUCUUAGCCUGGAAACUUUCAUAUGCUGCAGGUGCAGGCCUAAAAAGAAAAAAAAAAAAA